rnacentral:ncRNA from 1 species
UUCUUCAGGGUCGGGUGAAAUUCCCAAUCGGUGGUAUAGCCCACGAGCCUGCGUCAGCCAAAGCUGGCGGGGCAUGAUCCGGUGAGCACCGCGCAGGGCGCGGGGCGAUUCCGGAGCCGACAGUAAAGUCUGGAUGGAAGAAGGCG